UACGGAGGGUGCGAGCGUUGUUCGGAAUUAUUGGGCGUAAAGCGCACGUAGGCGGCUUUGUAAGUCUCACUGUGAAAGCCCGGGGCUCAACCCCGGGAGGCCAGGGGAUACUGCGAGGCUGGAGACAAGUAGAGGCUGGUGGAAUUCCGGGUGUAGCGGUGGAAUGCGUAGAGAUCCGGAGGAACAUCUGAGGCGAAGGCGGCCAGCUGGACUUGAUCUGACGCUGAGGUGCGAAAGCGUGGGGAGCGAACAGG
rnacentral:misc_RNA from 1 species